UGUCAACUUUGCAGGCAAUUUGAGUAGGCCAAGUGGCAGAUUUUGAAGGAGCAAUGAACGUAGAAGUUGUAGUGUGUCGAGUUAUCUUUCCAACACUACCGGAAUCGUGUCAAUUGACUAAGAGAUACUUGUAUAGUUGUGUAGAAAUAAAUCAAAAUGCGGCAGUUUGGGCAAUUUUUGAGUGCUCUCGGGUGGCAAGUCACUCUCGGGUUUCACUUUGUAUCCCAGGAAAAAUUGGUAGAGGCUCACGUCUCUCCUUAAGUGUGAUUUUUAUUUAAAAAAUCGUUAAUCGGAGAAGAUACUGCUCUGGGUGUUCUAAUUUUUGGUAGCAAUAAUUUACCAUUUGCGCGCACACAAUAACCGUGCUUGAUGCUGUCAACGCUGAUUAGAUGGCUCCUGUCAUGCCAAGGGCUCAAAUGAUCGGGCUGAUGAAGUCAACGCCCGCUCGAAGGUGCGAGUUGACAAUGGAAAAGAUGUCAGCGCUUGAAAUAGCCAUAGACGGAAAUAUUUAUUCUAUGAAAUCUUGUGAGCCCGCUUAUUGCACAUCCGAUCCUACGACCUGCUCAAGCCGCGUUUUGUUGUUGCGCGCUUGAUGGAAAAGAUUCCGAAUUAAGCGUGCACAGCUCACCCGUGUUUUUGCAUGCUGAUUCGACUGCUCUGGUUCAAGCUGUCGUGCAUGAUGCACUCUAUUUUCAUGAGAUUCCAUUUAAGCUUCGUAUGUUCCUUCUCCCUUUACAGAUUUAGCUGUUGAGGUUCAAUGAGCUCAUUUUUCGGGAUUUGAGCUCUAUUUUUUGCAGUGUUCUUGGAAUUUGUACCAGAACAUCAUAAACCUGCGAAAGAGGGGAAAAUGUGAGGAAAGAGGGCUUUAAUGCAAAAACAUUGAUUGGGUGAUGGAGAUUACUUUGAUGAUUUGAGCACUUUCGAGGUGAUUUCUACACAUCAAGGAAGUGAUCAAUUGUGGGAUUACAUAAGUUGAGGUAAUCCACUAUAGCAAAUCUAAUGAGGGGCCUGGAGGGCCCACCUAAAAACUUAGACCCAAAGUCUGGGAACAAUGGCGAUUUGGUAAUUAAGUGAUCUACCCAAAGGGGAAAUACUCAAGUACUAGGAGGUAAUGGCAUUUUUGUAAAUACCCAGAAAUCCUUAGUGGGAAUUUGAUUUAUUGCUUAGGGUCAAAUUAGAAGGGCAUUCAACUCAAUGGUAGGGUAUAAAUAAGAGGGUAAAGUAGGGGGAAACAAUUGGAGGUCAAUCAAAAGGACUUUUGCACA